GCUGGUAUGGUGUAGUGGUUUGAGCACUAGACUAUUACUCUGGAGACCGCAGGUCAAUUCCCAGCUCAGCC